rnacentral:snRNA from 1 species
UUACUUUGGCAGCACAUAUCCUCAAAGUUGGAAUGAUACAGAGUAGAUUUGCAUGGCUCCUGUCCAAGGGUACAUUCUUGUCACCUUUGCAUUUACCUAGAUUU